rnacentral:lncRNA from 1 species
UUGGGGAUAUUAUAUAAAUCCUCAAGUGGGGUCAUGGGGAUCAAAAUGCUUGGGAUUUAUUGCUAUACAGGAAAAAAAGUGUAUUUUCUGUUUAAUUCUUCAAAAAGGUCACACAUGGGAUCUCAGCAGGUUUAGUAAAUCAUAUAUCCUGGGGGAGGAACCCAGAUGGUGUGGAGCUACUGACCUAGCACAGAGACUGAGGCAUGCUGCUGGAGGCAUAAAGCUUGGCUGGCCUCUGUGGGCUUGGGUUGUGGCUGUGUCACGGUCUACCACUUUGCCAUUUGUCUCUGUGGAUCCUGAAAGCUGCAGAUAAAAAUUUUAAAGGCUUAGCUGCCUGUAAUUUAAGAAAGAACUUGGUUAGAAGUCAGAUCAAGUGAAAGAAAAUGAAAUGUCAUUGCACAAAAGGAAAAUGACCAAUCUGGUGGAAAUGGAGCAUUUUUUAAAAUAGUUUUUUGUUUGUUUGUUUUCCAUUAGUUAUUUUUAUCUACUUUUUGUCUUAGCUUUUGACGCCAAUACUUCUUUUUUUGGCUGAAAUCUAGUAACUUUUAAUGUUUAGGACAAAAAGAAGACAGCUAAUCUGAGACCAAUGAAAGAAAGGAAUGCAGAAGCCUGAUGCCUGGGCAUCAUCAGCUAUGCAGUAGCAUUUCCUCCUUGGGAAAAAUAUUGACAGUUUGAAGGAGACUUGAGAUGUUAACAUAAUUACUUAAGACAAAGGCUGAGCAGGGAGAGAGAGUGGUCAUUUCAAAUUAUAUGGUCAAAAAUAGGUAAAUCAAAGUUACAUGCUUUCAAUUUGAUGUAUGUGCUUUUCAUUUUGGUUUAUGAUUCAGACCACUUACAGUUGAUCUCUGUAGAAGUGCUUUUAAGUCAAAGUUUCAAAAAUGUUAGGGAAUAGUGCUUUUUAGUUAUUUUUUAGUAUAAUAAAAAAAAUUCCUUGCUUCUAUGUGUGACUAUGCACUUUACGUAUCAAAAAGUAAUCUUAAAAAUUCCCAGAGUUGAGUCUAUUUAUUAACUCUUGUUGAGAUAGUUUCUGGGUUUGGAUUUAAAGUCUAAAAUGUGAAACUUUAUGAAAAGUAGAGCCCAGGGCCAGGUGUCGUGGUUCAGAUCUGUAAUCCAAGCACUUUGGAAGGCCAAGGUGGGAGCUUUGCUUGAGCUCAAGAGUUUGAGACCACUCUGGGCAACAUAGUGAGACUCCAUCUCUACAAAAAAUAAAAAUAAAAAAAAACUUAGCCAGUUAUGGUAGUGUGCACGUGUAGUCUUAGCCACUUGGGAAGCUGGGGUGGGAGGAUCACCUGAGCCUAGGAGUUCAAGGCUGUAGAGAGGUAUGAUUGUGCCACUGUACUCCAAACUGGAUGAAAGAGCAAGAGCCAAAAAAAAAAAAAAAAAAAAAAAAAAAAAUGCUCAGCUCUAGAACUGACUAUAGUAAUAAAAAGAAGACAUUCUUUAGUGACAUAAAACUUGGGUGUUAUAUCUUACAUUGGCUAUUAUUCUUACGUGCAACAACAUAACAAUGAGAAAAACAAGCCAGAUACAAAAAAGUAUGUAUUGUUUGAUUCCCAUUUAUAUAAACUUAAAAAUGGGCAAAACUAAUCUAUGGUGUUGAAAGUCAGAAUUGUGGUGUACCUCAGGGAGAGGUAAACACUGAGAAGGGGCACCAUGGGGUCUGCCAGCUUCUGGUAGUGUGCCAGUUCCUAAUCUAGGGACUGAUAACUUGAGUGUGUUCAUUUUGUGUUCAUCAUACUCUUCACCUAAUCAUUUGUACACUUUUCUGUAACCUUUAUGUUACAUUUUAAAAGAAGUUAAAGAGUUAUGUUAUAGAACUUAAUGUGCAUUCUUUAGAAAAAUUUUAUCCUAAAGAAAUGUAAAUUUAUAGUCAGUUCUAGAGCUUAUGAUGUGUCUUUUUGAAAGUUUGACCUGCACCUGUACCCUAAAACUUAAAGUAUAAUAAUAAUAAAAAAAAAGAAAAAAAAGAAAUGCAGAAAAUGAUUUGACAAAAAAAAAAAAAGUUUGACCUAAUCUUAAUCAUGGCAGAUUUGGGAAUGCUAAUGUUUAUAUAUAUACUUUCAUAAUUACACCAAAAUUGAUGAAUCUUUCUCUGGGAGCUAUCCAUUGAUGUUCCUUGUAAUUAGCAACCUGCUUCUGUUUCCGAAAUUGUAUUUUCAAUCAUAUAAGUGUGUUCAAAGGCCUCAGCGGGGACCAGAAUUAGCUACAAUUUAUAUUCAGUUCAGAACAUAGAAUUCGUUUCUCAAAUUUCUCAUUAGCUUGGCAGUUUAUAAACUUGGAUGUGUGUAUGUGAGUUUUAGGAAUCUGAGGAUUGGACAAAAAAGAGAGACAGAGAAUAUUAAGGCAGUAAAGAAGAGUUUGGAAGAGUAGAGAUAAGUAGAAAUAAUGACAUUAGAAGGCAGAAGUCUUCAGAUAGUCAUUCAGAAGCAAGAUGAUGAAAUACUCUUUUGGCCAGACACAUCAUACUUACUCAACCUUUGUAUUUAGCUUCAAUUGUUGGUUGAAUGGACUCAGCUGUUCACACUGUAGAAGUAGUGGUAGUGGUAGUAGCAUAAGGAGUGUAGAUUUUGCUUUAAAUAUCACUCAUUUAAAAUACUUUUGUUCUUUGCCAGGUGAUAUGAUAUGAUAUGAUAUACAUGUCACAUUUCUUGUCAUGCAUGAACCUACCCUUUAGUUGGAGAAACAAGGCAUUUGGAGGUGAAAUGUUCAAAUGAAAAUAUAUGUACAAGAUAAGUGGUGUAAAUACACACACAGUAACAGUAACAAUAUUUGAUACAUUUUGCAUUUGUUUGUAUGCCAGCCAAAUAAUAAAGACCAGCUUUCUAACAGAAAAAUGACAAAGGACUGGAUUGGACAGUCUGUGAGGAGCGAUAUAUAAAUCACCAAUACAUACAUGAAAAUAUGUUCAGUAUCACUGGUAAUCAAAGGAUCACAAAUUAAAAUUUCACCUAUCAAAUUGGCCAAAUUGAGAAAAACUGAUAAUAGCCAAUGUUGGUUAAGUUUUAAGGAAAUCAGGAGUGGCAAUGGGCAUAAUCUUUCCAAUGGGAAAUUAAGCGAUGCAUGUCAAAAUUUAAAAUCUACAUACUCUGUGACCAAAGGCAGAUACAGGGUUUGUGGAGCCCAAGCCUAUGCAACUGGGGAAGGGAGAGAGUUCUUUUAAAAAAGGAUCCCAAAGUUAUAAAUACAAAUUUAGGUAUGACAUUAAAUAUUUAGUUCGAAUGAGAAAAAAUCACAACAAAUUUUUAUGAAAUUGGUAAAUACCAUAAACAUCACAAAAUCCAUCUCUAUGAGGCAAACUUGGGAAUCAGUCUGGCUCCAGGGCAUGGCUCUUAACAGCUGUGCUCUGACUGCCUCAGAAUGUAUCAUUCAUCUGUGUCCAUUGACUACUACAGACCAAAACACAUUUGCAACUUCUUGUCACCUCUGCUGCUAGUGCCUUGGUCCAAACCUCCAUCGUGUCUCUCUUGGAUCAUGGGAACACUCUCCUAACUGGUCUCUGUAUUUUGCCCUUGAACAGAAUGCAUGUAUUAUGUUUUUAACAUUUUUUAGUAAUUGACUUUCUGACACUCCUCUAUUUUAUUUAUUAUAUUAUUUUGGUUACUCUUUGAUUGCCUUUUCAUGUGACGAUGGUUUUGUACUAUUUUCUACAAAAAGACAGGAAAGAUAAGUCCUCUAUCAUGGUAGGUGGAAAUCUAUUUUUUAUUGUUAAUAGUUGCAUAAAACCUGAAAAUUCUCACGCACACAAAUUUGCUAUUUGUAGCACUGCCACAGGUUUGUUGCAUUUGUAAUUGCAUAUACUGCAUUAUUGAAUAUGUUUCUGACAGGAGAGAGCCUUCGUUUAGUCUAGCCACUGAUGGAAACUGAAUCCUUUGUUUACAAUUUUAGAUACCUGAUGAUUGGAAGAAUUUUCUACAGACUAGCUUGUGGCUCUAUACAUUUUACAUGCUGUUUCUCCUUCACUACUCAUAUAUUUCUGGUGCCAGGCUUGGCAAGAGGUGUUUUCAUUGUGAUGUGACCUCUGACCUUGCAGGGUGAGAUGGAAUGAGGGGCAGUAGGAAUAUUCCUGCCUUUUUUUCUAGUCUGGAACAGCUAUCAAUACCUAUCCCUGGAGGUGACCCCAAAUCCAUAUAAAAAAGCCACUAAACCAAAAUAAAGUAUAAUUCCAAAGUCAGUUUGACCCCCCAGAUUCCAAAAAUGUCCAUGUCUCCUUCAGUGCAGUCAAUUUAAAGGAAUGUUUGAUGAGAGGAAAAUUGCAGUGGAUGGCAACAGCAGUCAUAACAGAUCCAGUUGAAAUAUUUUAUUUUUACAAAUUUUACAAAAGCAGAGCCAUUGAACACAUUUCGAGGAUCCCUUUUACGUCUUGGAAGAAGCUUUAGGAAAUGAGGGACCCUGAAAAUUACACUUAAUUAGGCACUUAAUAUAUGUGCCUCUGUCUAUGACCUGGAUACUUCUAAGAAUUUAUCAUAAGGAAAAUGUGCAGUAAAAAUCAAUAAUAGCAAACAUUUGUUGAACGCUUACUGUACACCAGACACCUUGCUAAGAACUUCAUUUUGACUUUUUAUAAUGAGCGUUUUAUUUUUAUAUCUUAUUUAAAAAUUCCAGAGAACAAUAUCCGUGUUUAAAUGGGAAUUUUAGUUUAGACAAUGUCAAAAUUAUGUUCAUUUUUACUUCAUCUUUUCACUUCAACUUUUAUAUGGAUUUAUGCAGUUUAUACAACAACUACAUAGUGAAUGCUAGGCAGUGUUCUAGAUGUUGAAAUUCCUGCCUUCAUGAAGCUUAUAUUCUAGUUGGACAAGAUACUCAAUAAAUAAGUUAACAAAUAAGAUAAAUAAGUCUGUUAUCGCAUGUUGGAUGGGUAUAAGUACUAAGGAGAAACAAGAUAGCAAGCAAGGAGGUAAGAAAUAUGUAUGUGUAUGGAGUGGGGGUUGAGAUUUUAGAUGGAUCAUUUCACAGAGAAGGUAAUACUUAAGUAAAGACCAGGCCAGGUGCGGUGGCUCAUGCCUGUAAUCCCAGCACUUUGGGAGGCUGAGGUGGGAGGAUCACCUGAGGUCAGGAGUUCAAGACCAGCCUGGCCAACAUGAGAAACCCCAUCUCUACUAAAAAUACAAAAAUUAGUUGGGCGUGUUGGCAGGCGCCUGUAAUCCCCACCUACUCAGGAGGCUAGGGCAGGCAGAAUGGCUUGAACCAGGGAGGCGGAGGUUGCAGUGAGCCGAGAUCACGCCAUUACACUACUCCAGUCUGGGCGACAAAGUGAGACUCUGACUCAAAAAAAAAAAAAAAAAAGAAAAGAAAAGAAAAGCCUUCUAACUGUGUAUUCUAGGAAAACUCUAGAGUUCAAUAUUCAAUAUGCUGAAGGGUCUUCUUAUAUAAUUUUAAUGCCUGGAUUACAUUAGGAUGGUAGUAAAGAGAAGCUACAACCAUCACAUAGCUGAUGCACUUGUACCUGAUAUGUACUCUUGGUAAAGGCAAUAUGGUACCUACAAAAUUACUUUAGGGUCAUGUUAUAUGUGGUCUUUUACUGGAUGGCAUUGGAAUGAAUUACCAUUUGAGGUAACAGAAUUAUCUUUCCUAGAGUUCUUUAAAAAUAGGAUAAAUACUGGCAGAGUUGUGAUGCUUUGAUUUAAGCCAAUAGAGGUCAGAUUUUUUGAUAUACAUAGGUCUUUUGAUUUAGUAAGAUGAAUUUAUUCAGAAUUCAAAGAUCUUUUCAAAAUACACUCUCCUAUAUGGAGGCGGUAGGAUCUGAACCAGGGGAAUUACAAAUGGUUUUAACAGGCUGAAAGAGGGGUUUUGAAGUACAUUUUCCUUCAAAAAAAAAAAAAAAAAAGAAUGAAAAAGGAAAAAAGGGAAAAAAUAACCAUUUUCCUGUCAAAAGAGAAAAAAGUUAAAGAAAAAAACCUACCCCAAACCCCUGAAUAACCUACAUAAUGUGGGUUUUUUUUGUUUGUAUUAAGGAGUGUUUUUAAUAUUUAAAAAAUACUUUUCAACAAUGGUUCUACUGAAAAAAUAACAGUUUUACAUGACAUAUAGAUUUAUAAAAAUUACAUGUUACUGUGUUUAUAGAAAAAAAUGGUGGCUGUGUUUUAAAAAGACAUUGAAGCAACUCUUGUGUGAAAAUACACAGGUGGUGUUGAAAUAGAAACAAGCCUAGGCACUAGGGUUCCUAAGGUCUGCUUUCAUCUCAGCCUCUCAUUUGUUAUGUUACAUUUCAGGGCUAUCAUUAAUACUGCCAUUGUAUCCCAUUUUUCUUUCAUCUUCUCUUUUCACCCCGGACCCUGUUUGGGGGCCAGGAGUUCCUUUGAGAAUGUGAAGGCGGCCCUAAAAGCUCUCCUCUAAAUAAUGUGCAAAUACACAACAGAUUUGCAUGUAAGUUUAGGGGUUUCAUGGUUUCUGGAAAGCAUCUUUGGACCUUAGCUGAGUGUGCAUGAAUUAGAAUGCAUUAGUAAGAACAUGGGGCUGCAAAAUAUACCAUAUGAACAAUAGUUAGAGCAUUUCACUGUGAUGAGCUAGAAAAAGAAAAGCUUGAGGACAGGUCGUUAAUGAACUGUCACACAUAUCUGAAGAGCUGUUAUGUGGAAGGAAGAAGUUUAUUUGGGGUUGUUUUAGAGCUAGGUGGUCCACCACUGUAGCCACUGGUCACAUGUGACUAUUUAAAUGAAAAUUAAAUAAAAUAAAAAAUUCAGCUUUCCACUCAUAGUAGGCACAUUUCAAGUGCUCAGUGGUCACAUGGCUGCUGAAUUGGACUGUUAUAUCUUUGUAAGAAGUUCUGUUGGGCAGAGCUGCUCUGAAGUUUUGAACUUUCAACAGAGUGAAUUAUGGCAAGGCAGAUUUCAGCUCAUUUCUAACAAAACUGUUCUAUUAAUUUUAACUGUUCAGUGCCAGAGCUGUUGAACUGGCUGCCUCAAAGAAUAGUAAGCUUUCUGUCAUUUGAAGUACUCAGACAGAGACUAGAUUCCUACUUUUUGGAGUGAUGUAGAAGAGUUUCCUACCCAGAACCUUAGGGUGUUUAAGUGGGAAGAAGACUCAGCAAUUCAAUGUUUCUUUUACUGCAGAUGAAGACACAGACUCAGAGUCAGACAGUUUUGCCCAAAGACCCACAACUGGUUAAUGGCAAAUGCUAGCUGUCCUCAUGAAUCCUAGCUUAGUACUUUUCCCAUUCCACCCAUUGGCUAAUGUUUUAACAACAAGGUCCUCGCGGUUCUUGUUGAGCAACACAUUUCCGCUUCUGGCAUUCACCAGCUUUUCCACUUAUUCUCUCCCACUCUUCUGCAGUGAAAACUACACUGCAGCCAAGCUGAACUGGCUAUAUUGAAAUACGUUAUUCUGAUUCCUGCCUCUGCGUCUUUGCUAUUGCUUUGCCCUUUAUCAAAGUGACAUUUCUUCACAAACUUAAUUCUACUUAUUUUCUAACUUCUCCUCAGGUCUCAGAAUAUUCAAACCCAUACCAUCUCUUCUCUUUGCUAAACUACCUUGUUACAAUGCACUCAGACAUUUAUACUCUCUGUGAUGAUUAUAUUUUGUCUUAUCCCUUUGAUGAGCUUCUUAAAGACUGUGAUUACUAUUUUCAUGCAUAUAUCCUUUUUCUGUCUCCCUCACUAGAAUAUAAGUUCCUCAAGGGCAGGGACUAUAGCUGUCUUUUUCACCAUACCUUACUAUCCAGUUGCUAUCCAGCAAGUGUCUUAGCACCAUAAUAGGUGCUCAACAAAUAUUUAUUGAAUGAGUGAAUCAAUUUUUCUCUUCCCAAGCAUGCUAUUAUUCUCCUUAAGUUUGCCAUGAAUUCUCAAUAAAUACUUUUCUAAGCAAACAUUUCUGUUUCUAUAAAGUAAGUAUUGAAAAUAGGAAUAUGAAAAAAACAAAGUAAGGCACUCCAGCAUGUAAAGUGCUUGGGAGUCCUCACUCCCUUCCAAACCUGAGCAAGUAAAACUUGGUAAGUUUUCCUGGAACUGUCAGCAAUCUCAGGGCAAAUCACUUGCCACCCCAAAAUCUGAAGAAAUAGGUACAUUCAGACAGUCACAGCUAAGAUUUGCUUACCUACAGCAGAAGCAACUGGAACCAUAGACUAGAAGGGCCAUUUAAAUAGUAAUUUUGAUGAAUUGCUGGAGGCUAAGUGUUGACUAGCUUGAGAGUGGAACUCCUAGGCGCAGGAGUCUGAGAAAGGGUCUCACACGUACAUGGAUUUUACCUCCCGGAAACCCGUCAGGUUUUCACAGCAAAGAGCCAAGAUAGACCCUGUCCUGGCUCUGGCAAAGGGAAGGGGAAAGUAAUGACUUUGAAGUGCGCUCAGAAUGUUCUCUAUGAUAAAGACUUACUCUCCAAGGAAAAGGGCUUUACCAGAGUCUUAUCCCAUCUGGGGAGAAGAUAGUUCUCUGACUCGAGGCACCUCUAGAUUCCUGUGUCAACUAAGGAAGGAGGAAAAAGGUUAAGAAACAUUUGUAAAGGUCACAGUACAGCAACAUAGGCCCACCAAAAGAUUGAGAUGUAAUCCUAAGAAAAUGGAAUGUUUCCCUUCCCCACUCCUUACCACCACAGCAACAGGGCUCCUUAUAAUAACAGUGGAUUACAGCUGAAAGAGCUGCAAGAUGCAGACAGACACUGGCUGGCCAAGGAGAGGGGGUCUCAGGAAAGUCCAAAGACAACAGGAGAGAUGAAAAAAAAAAAAAAAAAAGACACUAGAGGACUUUGAAACCUCUGACAACCACAUUUAUAGCAAACAUUAUAUACAACCCAAUCUUAGACAGAUAAGCCUCAAGCUGAAGUCCUUUUUGCCUCAUUUCCUGUUAUCUGAUACAUCAUGUCUAGCUUUCAACAGAAAAUUACACAGAUGAGGCUGGGCACAUGGCUCAUGCCUAUAAUUCUAGCACUUUGGGAAGCCAAGGUGGACAGAUGACUUGAGGCUAGAAGUUCAAGAGCAUCCUGGGCAACAUGGUAAAACCCCAUCUAUACAAAAAAUAAGAAGAUUAGCCUGGCAUGGUGGUGCAUGGCUGUAGUCCCAGCUACUUAGGAGGCUGAGGUGGGAGGAUCACUUGAGCCCAGGAGGUCAAGACUGCAGUAAGCUGUGAUCACAUCAUUGCAUUCCAGCUUGGGCAACAGAGUAAGUAAGACCCUGUCUCAACAAAGCAUGCUAACAGGCAAGGAAAAACAGCCUGUAGAUACAAAGCAAGCGUCAGAACCAGACUCAGAUGUGACGCAGAUUUUGGAAUUAUCACACAGGGAAUUUCGGUAGCUAUGAUUCAUAUGUUAAGGGCUCUAAUAGAAAAAGUAGAUAACAUGCAAGAACAGAGGGGUGAUGUAAGUGGAGCGAUGAAAGAGCUAAGAAAAGAUCAAAAGGAAAAGCUAGACAUUAGAAACACAGUAACAGAAAUGAAGAAUGCCUCUGAAGGGUCACUCAGAAGACUUAACACGAUUUUUAAAAGUCUCAGUAAUCUUGAAGAUAGGUCAAUAGAAACUUCCCAAACUGAAAUGCAAAAAUAAAAGAAUGGGAAAAAAAAGAGCCAGGCAUGGUGGCUCACACCUGUGAUCCCAGCACUUUGGGAGGCCGAGGCAGGAGGAUUGCUUGAGCCCAAGAGUUCCAGACCAGCCUGGGCAACAUAGUGAGACCCUGUUUCUAAAAAAAUAAAAAAAAUUAGCCAGGCGUGGUGGCAUAUGCCCGUGGUCCCAGCUACUUGAGAUGGUAAAAGGCUAAGGUGGGAGGAUUGGGAGGAUCACUUGACCCUGGGAGGUGGAGGCUGCAGUUAGCUAUUAACUGCACUCUGGCUGCUUGAUAGAGUGAGACUGUGUCUCAAAAACCAACCAAACAAACAACAGAAGAUGCAAGAACUCAGAACUUUGGCACAAUUUCAAAAGGUGAAACAUACAUAUACAGGUAAUUGGAAGAUCAGAAGGAGAAAUAAGAAUGGAACAAGAGAAAUAUUUGAAGUAAUAAUGACUGAUAAUUUUCCAAAAUUAAUGACAGACAUCUAACCUAAAUUCAGAUCCAGGAAGCUCAGAGAACACAAAGUAGAAUAAAUUCCACAAAGUCUAUACUUAGAUAUAUGACAUUCAACUUCGGAAUGUGAAAAAAUCUUGAAAGAAGCCCUGGGGUUGUGGGGAUCACCAUAUCUAUAGAGAAACAAGAAUAAGAAUUACAGUGGACUUCUCAUCAUAAACUAUGCAAGUGAAGAAAAAUACUUAAAGAGUUGAAAGAAAAAUAAACCCUCAUCAACUUUGAAUUCUAAAUCCAUAAAAAUUAUCCUUCACAUGUGAAGGAGAAAUAAAGACUUUCUCACAUAAGCAAAACCGAGGGGAUUUAUUAUUAGCACAGCAUACCUAUUCUUUAUAAAAUGUUAAAAGAAGUUCUUCAGAGAAAAGAAUAAUGAUAGUUCAGCAACUUAGAUCAACAUUAAGGAAAGAACAUCAGAGAAGGAAUAAAUUUAAGGUAAAGUAAAAUCUUUUGCUUUUCUCAUUAAUUGAGCUAAAAGAAAACUUUGUUUAAACUAAUAAUUGUAACGGUGUAUUAGAUAAUUAUAGCAUAUGGUUAAGUGAAAUGAAUGACAACAAUGUCAUAAGAGAUUGGAGGGAGGAAUUGGAAAUACUUUAAGUUAUCUGAACUACACAUGAAAUGGCAUAGUAUUAGUUGAAACUGAACUUAGAUUAGUUUAAAAUGCAUAUUGCAAACUCUAGAACCACCACUAAAAAAGUUAAAAGAAAUAUAAUUGAGAUGCUCAGAGAGUAGAUAACAUGUUAUAUAAAACGCUCAAUUAAAACGGGAGAAAGAAGAACAAGAGGGGAGAAUUAAAGCAAGAGAAGGCAAAAUAAGAAAAAAAUAUAUAAAACAUAGGAAACCUAGAGUCGUAGGCAAAUCCUUAUUGUCUACAAGAAGCCCACUUUAAAUAUAAAGCAUCAAGUUAAGAGUAAAGGGAUGGAGAAUUAUACAGUAUGUUAACACCAAUCAAAAGAAAGCUGGAGUCACUAUCUUAAUUUUAGACAAAGCAGACUUCAGUACAAGGGAAAUUAUCAGGGAUAAAUAGGGACAUUAAGACUGAUAAAAGUAUCAGUUCUCCAGGAAGACAUAAUCAUAAAAACAUAUGCACCAAACAACAGAGAAUCAGAAUACAUGAGGCAAAAACUGAUGAACUUGCAAAGAGGCACAAUUUCAAAAUAACAAAUUGACUAUUGUAGCUGUGGACUUCAACACCCCUCUUUCACUAGUUGAUAGAUCAAGCCAGCAGAAAAUCAGUAAGGACGUAGUUGACUUGAAUAGCAUUAUCAGUCAGCUUGAUCUAAUUGACAUGUAUAAAACACUCCAUCCAACAAUAGCAGAAUCCACAUUUUCAAGCUUGCAUGGAAAUUCACCAAGAUAGAUCACAUCCUGGGCCAUAAAACAUACCUUAACAAAUUUUAAAGAAUAGAAAUUAUACAAAGUAUGUACUCAGACUGCAGUGAAAUUAAACUAUAAGUCAAUAACAGAAAGAUAUUUGGAAAAUGCCAAAAUAUUUACAGAUUAAACAGCACCCUUCACAAUAACACAUGACUGAAGAGGUCACAAGAUAAAUUUAAGAGUAUUUUGAAUAGCCUGUAGUCUCAGCUACUUGGGAGGCUGAGGCAGGAGGAUUUCUUGAGCCCAGGAGUUUGAGUCUAGCCUGAACAACAUAGUGAGACCCAGGCACUUGAAAAAUUUUUUGAAUAAAAUAAAAUUUAAAAUAUAACUUAUAAAAAAUUGUGAGUUUAACUCCUGUCUUGCCAUAUACUAGCAGUAGCAGUACAACUGUGAAUAACAUACUUAAAUGGCUGUGCUUAUUUUCGUAAAAUAAUUUUAGUAUUUAAAACUUCACCUAAAAUAAGUUCUAAUGUUCUAUUGCAUAGUAUGGUGACUAGAGUUAACAAUAACAUGUUGCAUAUAUUUUGAAGUAGCUAGAAAGAAAUGACACAUAUUUGAGGUGAUAGAUAUGCUAAUUACCCUGGUUUUAUUGUUACACAAUGUAUACAUGUAUCAAAACAUCACACUGUACCACAUAAAUGUGUACAGUUAUUAUUUGUCAAUUAAAAGCAAAAUAAAACAAAAACAAACACAAAAAAUUGUGGGAUGCAAGGAAAGCAAUGCUUAGAGAACAACUGAUACCACUAAAUGCUUACAUUAGAAAAGAAGAAACAAUGAAACAACAAAAAUAUCUUUCAAUAGGUAAAUGAAUAAACAAAUUGUGGUGUAUCUAUACAAAAAAUAAAUAAAUGGAGGAGAAGAAGCAGUAUCUCCUACAGAAUUCCAAACAAUUGAUGCAGAUACUUCACUCUCAAGAAAGUGGUAAUUUUCCACUCCUUAAAGUGUAGGUUAUGCAUAGUGACUUUGUUUCAGAGUAUAGUGUGGAAAGGGCAAGGAAGCGACUUUAUGGUAGUUACUCACAGCCAGAUGAUCAAGACAUCAGCAGUGAUAAGCACUAUUGCUAUUAUGUAUGAUGUGAUAAAGAUAACACUUCACCUCUGUGGUCUUCCUUCCCAAAAUACAUAACUCCAGUCUCAUAAUGAGAAAAACGUCAGACAAAUUUUAAUUGAUGGCAUUUUACAAAGAUAAAUACUCCUCAAAUCUGUUAAGGUCAUUAAAACCAACGGAAAUCUCAGAAAUUGUUAGAGCCAAGAGGACCGUAAGGAAACAUGACAGCUAAUGAAAUAUGUUUUCUUGGAUGGGGUCCUAGAACAGAAAAUAAUAUUAGGUAAAAUGAAGACAAUUGAAUAAAGUAUGGACUUUAGUUAAUAAUGAUGUAUCAAUAUUGGUCCUUUAGUUGUAGCAAAUGUGCACUUAGAACGUGUAGUAAUAGGGGAAACUCUCUGGGUUGAUAUAAGUGGAGCGAUGAAACAAAUAGGUGAAACUGUAAUAUUUGUAAUUUUUGCAAUUUUUGUAAUUUUUCUAUAAAUCUAAAACUGCUGAAAUACAUUUUAUUUUAGAAAAAUCAAUGUAAGUAUACCUACUCAUGUGUUCAUUUGUAGAAUUAUUAGCCGAACCAUUUUUUCCAGUUUCAAUAAUUUCUGCUGAAUAAAACUUUUGGUAUUCAUGCUACUCAGUUUAUUUCUGGAAUACAGCAAUUCUUUGAUUUCUCCUUAUAAAUAUAUGCAAGAACAACAGUGUCCUUUAGUUGUUAGAAUCUUAUAUAGUCCAUAUAUUCUUCAGCACCCAUGUUAUUCAUUGUCUUUUUACAACCUGCUAUUUAAGGACAAAAUACAUAGAGUCACAAAUGGAAAGUAAAGAAGAACCAUCUCUUUCAUCUCCUCCUCAUUUUGUCAUCACAGUGUGAAGUGUCAGUAUGGAGAAGGCAUUACUUUGAAAGCAGACUGUCUGGCAGAAACUGCAAAACUGCAUUUUGCAAUAGUGUCAUCCAAACUCUGGGGAAUUCUGUUAUUCAGAAGCCUCUGUGGUUCAUUCAUGCAUUAAGAGGAUGAGUCUUGCUGCUUUCUCAUCUGACAGAGGAGAAUGUUGCCAUGACAGCUGUUAGGAGGUGAGGAGAUGUGUAAAGGGCAUCCAUAAUGAAAAGAGAAAAUAGCCUGGCUUCUUAGGUCUCACUGAUGAUGCAUGGAGUGGCUUGUGUGGAUUCUCAAAAUGAACCUUGAAAAUCCGUUAGUCCCAUUUUAGUAAUAAUAUCUCACACACACACACACACACACACACACACACACACACACACACACACAAUGUUUCUUUUCCAGUAGCCUAAGAAGCAUGUAGAAAAAUUAAACCUCAACUAAAACCCCCUCAUAGAUACCUCCUUUUCCAUCUUUGGAGUGUAGACUGAAGAUCUACCAUAUUGAAGGUUUAAAACAUUUGUUUUGUUAGUGAUUAUUAUGAGGGAAAAUAUUUUCCAAAAAGGCAGAAUCUUUUUAGAAAAUGUCCUAAAACCAGAAAAGGUGUUAGAGAGUAAUCAGAGAGCUUAAGUAGAUUUCAUCUCUUUAGUCCCAGAGAGUAAAAUAUAUUUUCUUUAUCUAAAGAUGUUGAAGGAGUAUUUACUGAUUGAAGGAUAUGGUAUCUUGCAUUUUCUUCAAAAUAAUAUGGGAAUGGGGAGUUUUUUAGGGCCACAGGCAAAAAAAAGAUUGGUAAUGAAUCGAUUAUAGAAUAUUAUUAGGGACUGACUUGUGCCCCCUGCCCCUGCUCCCAAAAUUCAUGUUAAACUAACCCCCAGUACCUCAGAAUGUGACUGUAUUUGAAGACAGGGUCUUUAAAGAGGUGCUUAAGUUAAAAAUGAAGCCUUUAGGGUAUUCUCUAAUUUGGUCUGUUAUCCUCAUGAGAAGAGGAAAUUUGGACACACAAAGAGACACCAGAAACAUCCGUGUAAAGAGGAAAGACCAUAUGAGGACAUAUUGAGAAGGCAUUCAUCUGCACACCAAGAAAAGAGGCCUCAGAGGAAACCACCCCUGCCUGCCAAUCCCUUGAUCUUAGGCUUAUAGCAUCCAGAACUGUGAGAAAAUAAAUUUCUGUGGUUUAAGCCACCAGUCUGUGGUAAUUUGUUAUGGCAACCAGAGCAAACUCAUACAAAUACCUAUCACAUAAUCGGAGUAUGUGUUAUCUACUCUCUGGGGAAGGUUUAGUUGCUUUGGGAGCCUCAUGAUGGAGAGCAAAAUAAGAACUGGGGGGAUCAGGGAAAACUGGCCGGGAGAGGGUAGGUGUUAGCCUGGUGAAAAGCCAGUGGGAAGAGAACUUUAAGUAGAAGGAGGAGAAUGUACACAGGCCUGAAUAUAGGGGCAUGGCAUGCUUGGGAAAGUAAAAGUAGCUCAAUAGGGAUGAAUUCUAGGGUGUGGGUGAAUGGGGGACUAGUGAGAUUAGGCAUUAGGGCAGUAAGCUUUUAUUACCAUUCAUAUGCACACCCACACAUCACACAUCUAUACACACACAUGUGUUUAUACUCAUUUUGUUUACUGUCAGUAUCUCUCCUCUAGAACAUAAGUCCUUUGAUGCCCUUUCUGUCUCUUUUGUUAACUGGUAUAUUUCUGGCUACUUAGAAUAGUACCUGGCACACAGAAGGUAUUCAACAAAAAAAUUGCUGAAUAAAUAAAUGAGUAAACUGCAUGAUUUAUUCUUUAGAAAAAUCACUUUGGCAGCACUGCGGGAAACAUUUGGAAUGUGGCCUCAAGCAGGACUGUUAGGAGAUUGUUGCAAUAGUCCCGCUGAAGUUGACGGUGGAGGUGUAGAUGAGAAGACUCAGCUAACGGGUGAGUUACUCAGGAGGUAGAACUAAGAGAACUUGUAAUGUGAUUGUCUAUAGGGCUUAAAGGAGAAUGGUCACUCCCAGGUUCCUGGUGUAGGCACUGACAGAAAGAUAGGGUUAUUUUCUGAGGUAAGAAACAUACAAAGAAAAGUAGACUUUGGGUCUGGGUUGGAGGUACUGAGUUCAGUGUUGGUCAUGUUUAGCUUCAGGUAGCAGAAUGACAUCCAAAUCAAGAUGUCUACUUGGUGGUGACUGAGAGGGGGCUGUCUAGGCUGGAUCUUCAACUUAGACGUGAACCUAAAGCUGUAGAAAUGGAUGGUGUUGUUCAAGUAGAAGGUGUAGACGCAGAAGAUGAGAACAAGGAGUAUUGAGAGAAGAAAAUAGAAACAGGAAAUCAAAAUAAGCAGUGAAAAGUUUACUGCACUUCCAAAAAACUCUUGAAUUCCUUAUUGUUAUGUUUGUCAUUACAUUACAGAACUUUAAAACAAAUAUGUAGUUCAGAUUCUAGCUCUGAAGCUGUAGUCUUGGUAACUUAACCUCCUUAUUCCUUCUUUUUCUUCAUCUCUAAGAUGGGUCCAAUUAUAAUCCCUACCUUUAUUAUAGAUAUGUUGUGAGGGCUAGAUGAAAUACAUGUAAAGCCUUUAGUAUUAGAAUGUGCAUUCAAUAAUUGUUCACUCAUUUUUAAUUAUUAAGUUUAAACUUUCAUUAUUUUUAUUUAUUUAUUUUUUUGAGACAGCGUCUCACUCUUGCUCAGGCUGGAGUACAGUGGUGCAAUCAUGGCUCACUGCAGCCUUGACUUGCUGGGCUCAGGUGAUCCUCCCAUCUCAGCCUCCCAAGUAGCUGGGACUACAGGUGCAUGCCACCACACCUGGCUAAUGUUUUUUUUUGUUUGUUUGUGGAGGUGGGGUCCCACCAUGUUGCUCACGCUGAUCUCAAACUCUGGGCUCAAGCAGCUCGCCCACCUUGGCCUCCCAAAGUGCUAGGAUUACAUGUGUGAGCCACUGUGCCUGGCCUA